ACUCCGUGAAGCUGGAUUCGCUAGUAAUCGCGCAUCAGCCAUGGCGCGGUGAAUACGUUCCCGGGCCUUGUACACACCGCCCGUCAAGCCAUGGAAGCCGGGGGUGCCUGAAGUGUGCAGCCGCAAGGAGCGCCCUAAGGUAAAACCGGUGACUGGGGCUAAGUCGUAACAAGGUAAC
rnacentral:rRNA from 1 species